UACGUAGGGUGCAAGCGUUAAUCGGAAUUACUGGGCGUAAAGCGUGCGCAGGCGGUUAUGUAAGACAGGUGUGAAAUCCCCCGGGCUUAACCUGGGAACUGCAUUUGUGACUGCAUAGCUAGAGUACGGUAGAGGGGGAUGGAAUUCCGCGUGUAGCAGUGAAAUGCGUAGAUAUGCGGAGGAACACCGAUGGCGAAGGCAAUCCCCCUGGACCUGUACUGACGCUCAUGCACGAAAGCGUGGGGAGCAAACAGG
rnacentral:rRNA from 1 species